GAGGUCUUAGCUUAAGUUAAAGUGUUUGAGUUGCAAUCAGGUGAUGUAAAUUAGAGUUUUACAGGUCUU
rnacentral:tRNA from 1 species